rnacentral:rRNA from 1 species
GUCCACGCCGUAAACGAUGGAUGCUAGAUGUCGCGGGUAUUGACCCCUGCGGCGUCGAAGUUAACGCAUUAAGCAUCCCGCCUGGGGAGUACGGCCGCAAGGUUAAAACUCAAGGAAUUGACGGGGCCCGCACAAGCGGUGGAGCAUGUGGUUCAAUUCGACGCAACGCGCAGAACCUUACCUGGGUUAAAUCCACCGGAAUCCCGCAGAGAUGUAGGAGUGCUCGCAAGAGAGCCGGUGAGAAGGUGCUGCAUGGCUGUCGU